UGAUCCUGCCGGAGGCCAUUGCUAUCGGAGUCCGAUUUAGCCAUGCUAGUUGCACGAGUUCAGACUCGUGGCAGAUAGCUCAGUAACACGUGGCCAAGCUACCCUAUGGAGAGGGAUAACCCCGGGAAACUGGGGCUAAUACCUCAUAACGCUCCCCCACUGGAAUGUGGGGAGCCGGAAAUGCUCCGGCGCCAUAGGAUGCGGCUGCGGUCGAUUAGGUAGACGGUGGGGUAACGGCCCACCGUGCCGAUAAUCGGUACGGGUCGUGAGAGCGAGUGCCCGGGGAUGGAUUCUGAGACAAGAAUCCAGGCCCUACGGGGCGCAGCAGGCGCGAAACCUUUACACUGCACGCAAGUGCGAUAAGGGGACUCCGAGUGUGUGGGCAUAGAGCCCACACUUUUGUGUACCGUAAGGUGGUACACGAAUAAGAACUGGGCAAGACCGGUGCCAGCUGCCGCGGUAAUACCGGCAGCUCGAGUGAUGGCCGAUUUUAUUGGGCCUAAAGCGUCCGUAGCUGGCCCUGCAAGUCCGUCGGGAAAUCCACUCGCCUAACGAGUGGGCGUCCGGCGGAAACUACAGGGCUUGGGACCGGAAGACUUGAGGGGUACGUCUGGGGUAGGAGUGAAAUCCUGUAAUCCUGGACGGACCGCCGAUGGCGAAAGCACCUCAAGACGACGGAUCCGACAGUGAGGGACGAAAGCUAGGGUCUCGAACCGGAUUAGAUACCCGGGUAGUCCUAGCCGUAAACGAUGUUCGCUAGAUGUGGCACAGGCUACGUGCCUGUGCUGUGUCGUAGGGAAGCCGAGAAGCGAACCGCCUGGGAAGUACGUCCGCAAGGAUGAAACUUAAAGGAAUUGGCGGGGGAGCACUACAACCGGAGAGCCUGCGGUUUAAUUGGACUCAACGCCGGACAUCUCACAGCUCGACUACAGUGAUGACGAUCAG
rnacentral:rRNA from 1 species